rnacentral:rRNA from 1 species
AGGGGACCUUCGGGCCUUUCGCUAACAGAUGAGCCUGCGUUGGAUUAGCUAGUUGGUGGGGUAAGGGCCCACCAAGGCGACGAUCCAUAGCUGGUCUGAGAGGACGAUCAGCCACACUGGGACUGAGACACGGCCCAGACUCCUACGGGAGGCAGCAGUGGGGAAUAUUGGACAAUGGGCGCAAGCCUGAUCCAGCAAUACCGCGUGUGUGAAGAAGGCCCUAGGGUUGUAAAGCACUUUCAAUUGGGGGGAAAACCCACCGACCAAUACCCGGUGGCUUGACAUUACCUUUAGAAGAAGCACCGGCUAACUCCGUGCCAGCAGCCGCGGUAAUACGGAGGGUGCGAGCGUUAAUCGGAAUUACUGGGCGUAAAGCGUGCGUAGGCGGCCCGUUAAGUCAGAUGUGAAAGCCCCGGGCUCAACCUGGGAACUGCAUUUGAAACUGGCGGGCUAGAGUUUGGUAGAGGGGAGCGGAAUUUCAGGUGUAGCGGUGAAAUGCGUAGAUAUCUGAAGGAACACCAGUGGCGAA